UAUAUAUUGCUGAUGGAUUGUUUAGAAUGGGACAGUUUUAAUUGGACAUAAUGUUUUAAUCGCCAUUUUACAGAGUGCCAGCCAGUCAUUGCUGUUCUUUGCAUUGCUGAGGAGGACAGUCCUGCCAACAUAAUAGUUUGUUCAAUAACAGGAGACAAACAGAAACACAGAGGUGCUAUACAUUCCGAUGGAAAAUACAACAAAAGAAGAAUUUUAAGAAAGGUGAUGGUUGGGCACACACAAGAAGACAUAGAUCACAUGUGUCCAGGCAUAUGAGUAGACAGGAGUUUCAUACUCUGCCAAACUUACUUCAUCAGAGGAGCAGAAAGCUUCUCAAGAUCCCGCACUGCACACUUAGAUAUAGUCUUUGACUACAACAAGGGGAUGAAAGUACAGAGAGGUCCAAUUGAAAUCAAUUCUGUGCUGCGUCAUUUCUUCAUUCUGGAAGUCGAUGGACAUGAUUUAUCAUGGCAUCAGGUGUGCAGUUUGUCGACUAUCAGCAGUCUUGUUCACCAGUUGUGCAACUUGAGCUGGUAGCUUUAUUGCUUGAAGCCACAGCAUAAGAGGGGGAAGGUGCAGGCUCAUCAAAAAGUCUCAAAAGUUGAAACUAGGAAAAGAAGUUUGUCAAGAGUGUGAAUAUUUGCUUUGAAAACCAUCGUUACGAUGAUUUGGUUUCCUUUGAAACUUGAUACAUACUAUGUGUAUGUUGAAUGAAUUGAGAUGCUUAAAUAAAGAAUCGCUAUUCAAAUAUCAGGAAACUGCAUUUUUCAUACUAAAGGGUAAAUGAUGUCGCCAUUUCCUGUAUGUAUUUAAAUGAGAUAUGUUUCCACAAUUAAUAUUUUUAGGGAAUUUUUCUCAUCCUAAUGAAUGAGAUUAAAUUGUACAGCGUUAUAUGAGCUUAAUAUGUGUUUUCUGUUUCUUUAAAAUUGGUGAAAAAUUGUCAGAAGAUAAUUAGACCAGUAUCCAUUACUACAAUCAAAUAUACAGGGACAAACCCACUGGGCAUAUAAUAUAAUUAAACCCUGUUUAGGGGCACGAGGCAAACAGAGUUACUUUCAAACGUUAAAGCUGCACUCUCACAUUUUGGACGUUUUGACAACUUUUCUCAUUUUAUGUCUUGGAUUGGAACCAUCCAAUUUUUGCGAAAAAUUAAAUGGCAGAUUUUUCUAUUUAAGUUAAAACAUUGAUGUUUUAUGCACUUUUCUUAAACCGUUAGUAACAUUAAUUUUUGAACGGAAAUAUGAAAUCUGUGAUCUGAUCUUUUGUCAGCAAUCUUUUAUCAUUGGUUUGCAGAUAAUUACGCAAAAAAUUGCUCAUUCAAAAACAAAAAUAGUUGUGAAAACGGUAUAUCUGUGGGAGUGCAGCUCUAAAUGUUGAAUUUCUUGAUUUUACUACUGUAUUAGAAAUUACAGGGGUUGGGGCAUUUUUUUAGUGUUUUUAUUGCUUUUUAUUUUCAUACAGUCAUACUUUAUUCCUCAGGGCAUAACUUACAAAUAGACAAAACUGGAAAAUGGUCGUUUCAAAAGGCCAAAGAUAAUGCAAGUUGAACAAUCAUAUUGUUCAUGGCUUGUAUUUUUGGUGUAUUUUGUUGCAUAUGCUAUAGAAAAGUUGAAAGUUAAAAAUAAAUUCAUAGUUGAAAUGAUGGCUUUGAAUGGUAUUGUCAGAUGAGAAACGGCACUUUUAAGAAAUAGGUAUAAUGGUACUUUAUUUAUUUUGAUCAAUUUUAGAUAUUGUAUGAAAAUUAUUAUCUUAUUUAGUACAUGAGACCUUUUAAACAGUUAUUGACAAUAUAACAAUGUGUAUAUGAAGCUUUAGAUCAACACUUCAAGCUGCACUCUUACAGAUUGUCAGUAAAGACACAAAAUUGUCUCAAAAUCUGCUGAUUUGGUUAUCAUUCCUUUAAUUCAGUCAUAUUAGAUAAUUCACAAUAGAACCCAUCAGAAAUGUAAAAGUGCUGAAAAUUUCAUUUACAUUAAAUUGUUCGUAAUGCUUUUAGCCAUAAAACAUCAUUUUUUUAACAUAAAUAUGAUAAACUGCUAUCUGAUCUUUUUUCAGCAGUCUUAUAUCACUUAAAAUUGGGUCUAGACAUUUAUGCAAAAAAAUUGUCCAUUUAUAGACAAACAAUAAAAGAGUACCGGUAGUCAAAACGAUCAAUCGGUGAGAUUGCAGCUUUAAAUACACCUUUUAAGACCGCUGUAAAAUUCCAAUGGUUUGCCUAAAUCUUUAAAGCUUGCAUACUGUUUAAUUAACAACCAUACUUAUUGUUUAAAAGUGUCAUGAUAUCUUUGUACAAUGUUUUUAUAUAAUUCAUUAAAGAAGU